ACCCAUUCAAAUGGUGAUGUAGAAAUCGUGCAUUUUCUCAAUCUCAGUUUCUAGGCAAAUUCAUAUUAUCAUAAAAAUCACAUUAGUUGUUAAAAGGUGGGAAAAAACCCCCAAGACCCAAAAAAUGGAACCCGAUAAUCACAUCAGUUUGCAACUUGUUUGGCCACACCUCACCACCUUGGACCCUCCUCUCUAUAUCCAUUCGACUCUCUUUAUUUAUCAUCUCCGGCGUAAUUCCAUACCACCGACUCCUCUAUCAUCUCGUCGUCGACCACACAUAUGUGUGCUCUUUCUCCUGUAUUCAAGGGUUGGGGGACACCAGCAUCCUUAAACAGGAAUUGGGGCCGAAUCUGGAGAUAUAGCUAGCAUCUUUGGGCGGUGGAUUGUGGCACUGGGCGAGGAAAAUACUUACUCUCCAUGUAUGUAAUCCCAAAUCCAAACCAACAAUCACUCGCUUCCACCUUAUCGUAACUAAAACGCAGUGCGAUGAUACGUUAGUUUGUUUACAUAGAUGGUAGAACUGAAACAACAUUACAAUCUUGUCUUUCGUUCAAUCAUGAUAAUAGAAUCACAUGAUUGUUCUUAA